rnacentral:rRNA from 1 species
AUGGCGACCGGCGCACGGGUGAGUAACGCGUAUCCAACCUUCCCCCUACUCGGCAAUAGCCCGUCGAAAGGCGGAUUAAUGGCCGAUGCAGUUCAUUGAUGACAUCAGAUUUGAACGAAAGCCUUCUGGCGGUAUGGGAUGGGGAUGCGUCUGAUUAGGCAGUUGGCGGGGUAACGGCCCACCAAACCGACGAUCAGUAGGGGUUCUGAGAGGAAGGUCCCCCACAUUGGAACUGAGACACGGUCCAAACUCCUACGGGAGGCAGCAGUGAGGAAUAUUGGUCAAUGGGCGGAAGCCUGAACCAGCCAAGUAGCGUGAAGGAUGACGG